rnacentral:rRNA from 1 species
CCUACGGGCGGCAGCAGUGGGGAAUAUUGGACAAUGGGCGAAAGCCUGAUCCAGCCAUGCCGCGUGUGUGAAGAAGGCCUUCGGGUUGUAAAGCACUUUCAGUGGGGAAGAAAGCCUUGGGGCUAAUACCCUCGAGGAAGGACAUCACCCACAGAAGAAGCACCGGCUAACUCCGUGCCAGCAGCCGCGGUAAUACGGAGGGUGCGAGCGUUAAUCGGAAUUACUGGGCGUAAAGCGCGCGUAGGCGGUCUGAUAAGCCGGUUGUGAAAGCCCCGGGCUCAACCUGGGAACGGCAUCCGGAACUGUCAGGCUAGAGGGCAGGAGAGGAAGGUAGAAUUCCCGGUGUAGCGGUGAAAUGCGGAGAGAUCGGGAGGAAUACCAGUGGCGAAGGCGGCCUUCUGGACUGACACUGACGCUGAGGUGCGAAAGCGUGGGUAGCAAACAGGAUUAGAUACCCGAGUAGUC